CAGAGUGGUCUCAGGGCAAGCCCGUCCACUGGCCUCGGAGGAGGACCAGGGCUGUACCAGCAGCGUCUGAAAUUCCAGCUCCUCGGCCCCGGCGCCUCCAGGUGAACUCUGGGUGUGGUACGGGGGUCUCCGUUUCCAUGAAACUGAACAACACGCAGUCUCUGACUCAGUGGCUGUCUUGGGAUUUUCCUUUCAAAAGCUUUUACAAUUGCCUUUAAGCAGUCCGUUUGUCUGUCUCUUGUUUAGAACGAGGAAUGACAAUGAACGUUGGAGAGCCUCUCCCGCAGAUGGGUCGCACGGCCUCAGCCUGAGGGAAACGUGUUCCCAUCCCGCUCCAGGGGCAAGUCCCCGCCGGCUCGGACCCCAGGGAGGUGGAGGCAGGCACCGUCCCCUUGUCCGGGUGACCCAGUGUGGCCUCCCUGCUAAGCCCGCAGCCUGGGCUGGCAACAGCCUCGAUCGGGGGCCGGGGGAAGCGGCCGAGAUGUGGCUCGGAGGUGGCAGCUGGCAGGCGGGGUGCUCCAGGGACAGCUGAUGUAUCACGGCCUGAGCCUCCACCCUGGGCGUGACUCGCUUGUCCACAGCAUCGGCAACUCUCUGAAAAGGCUCCUCUGCUACAUGUCACGGUGCCCGGAGGGAGGGAGAGCAGCCAGGACCCGAGGUCCUGCCAAGCUCAUAAAAUCUCCCCGUAGGGACCUGAGAAGCCAGGAGGACCCGGAGCCAGCGGGAGGGAGGCCACGGAGGGGCCCAGGAAGCCUGAGCUGCUUGGAGGGGGAGGCAGCGGCGACCCCGGCGGGGGGCCAGACGUGGUGGAAAGAGGGGCGUCUGCAACUGGAGCAUGGCGGUGACUGUGGAAUUCUGUCCAGCUGCAUUCAGCCAUCCAGCAACAGGUCCCAGCGUGAACAGGUCCCCCGGAGCGAGUGCUCGGGAAUGUCUCCUGGCCAGGCCUGGAGAUGGCAGGAGGCCGGGCGAGGAGCCCCGCGUCUCCCCUGUUUCCGGGCCAUUGUUUUCUUGGCUGGAUUUUGCGGAGGGUUAAGUGUCCCUCUUGGCCUGGCUGCUGAGUGGGGUGAGAGCGAUUGCGUGAACUUGCUUCCUGGCGUGCGGCUGUGAAUGCUUCUCGGCUCGCCUGGCUCCCGCGGUUUCCUUCCCAAGCCCUCCUUGCUGGCAGGAGGGAACAGACACGCGGGGUGUGGAUCCCUCCGGAGCUCGCUGGGGGCCGUUCGCCCCGCUCAUCACUCUGGCCACACUCCCUGCCCGCCCCUUUACAUUCCGGGCUUGCCUAGACAGGCAGAUGGAGUGGGCUUUCGGGAAAGAGAGAGAGAAAAAGGAAUCUUUUCUAUGUGGCUGGUUUUCAACCCUUGAAAUCCCAGUGAAAAUAAUCACACUAAAUACUAUUUGUUGGCAGCCUAGAGACAUGGAACACGGGCUGAAUCCUUUGCGUUUCUUUGUAAUUGGAAAAGGAUGUUUUUACAUCUUGACAUUUUUUGACUCUCAGCCACAUCUAGAUAGAAUUAGUGAGACCCCAAGAAGACAUUCCAUCGAUGCUGGGUAACUGCAAGAACUUUAAACAGAUCUGUCGUGACGUCUCUGAGAAUGGCGGCCCGCAGUGACCUGGAAUCCCACAGUGGCUCUGCCAGGUAUUCCAGGAACAGGCCCCAGGGACACGCAUCUAAUUCAUUAUUUAUGGAGCAAAUUAUCAUUCUCCACAGCAAGCAGAGACCUUGACAAAUGGGCCACCACUGUGGCUUCCUGAUUUUCUUUUCUUUUGGGGGUGUUGAGGGUUGCAACAGACGAUGCCCUAAAGACCUCCAGGGCUGUGCCUGUGCUGGACAUCUGGCCAGCCCUCAGGGUCCUGGACUUGUCCUCAUCUCUACUACUCACCUGCUGCCUGCGAUGCAGACCUGCCUCCCCUGGAUGCUCACAGACUUUUCAUAGCUUUGUGUCUGGUGGGUGCAGCCUUAGUCUCCCAGGAGGCCCCUCCCCAACCAUGGUCAGAGGGAGUCAUGGACCACCUUCCAAGCAUCAGCUGACCUUAAAUGCAUGGAUCAGUGAAGCGGCGGCAAGAGUCCAGCUGGGCAGUCCUCAGGACUGGUUAAUUUGUGUACUUGAUGGAGAGCUUCAUGCAAAAUGACACAGAGACAGACACACAGAGGACAGCCUGUGAUGACGGGGCAGAGACGGAAGCGGCGAGUCUACAACCCUCGGCACACCCAGGGUGGCUGCGACCCUCGGAUGCCAGGGAGAGGCGAGGAAGGGUGUCAGUCAGAAUUUCAGAGGGCACAGCACCCUGCUGACACCUUCAGGUAGGACUUUCAGAACAAAUUCCUAUUGUUUAAAGCAAUCCAGUGUGUGGUGCAGCCCUAGAAAAGCAGGACAGAAAUUGUGUUACUUUCACAGGAGACUGUAUUCAUCCAUUAAACAGCAGUGCCCUGAGAAUAAUGCUUGGUGACACAGGAAAAUACUUGUGCUUCAGUAAAUUAAAAAAAGAAGCGAAUUGCAAACAGCAUGUACUGUACGAUUCAAUUUCUGAAAAACAAAAUAUGUACUUAUUCACGGAGAAAAAUGACUGUAGAAAUGCAUGGCAAUGUUCACCACGAUGUUCUUGCUUGUGAUUAAGAUUGUGGAUAUUUAUGUGUACUUUUGGUUUAUCUUCGUUUCUCAAAGUUUCACAAUGUAUGUGUAUUGUUCUGAUAGCAAGAAAAAAAAAUGCCGGACUUCUCUUAGCAAAGACAAAUGCCAAGAGCAAAAAUGUGUGUAACAAAUUUGGAAGACAAAGUUUGAAUAUGCUGGAAGUGUAUGAACCAAAAAGGGAGACAGAAAUCCUAACAGCAGAGCCAGAGAUCCUUAUACACAAGAGAAAGAGACAGGAAACAUUAAUGAAAUACUCAAAUGCUUUAGCAACAUCAGAAAUGCAAAUGAAAUCAUUGUUUUCCAGUAAAAUAGGGCAAGUGGUAAUACUCAGUUUGAUGGAGUUGGGUGAAAUGGAAACUCCUUCUUCUGCAGGAGGGUAUGAGUGUAGAAGUUCCAGGAUGGGCCAUUGUGGGGACGCCUAAGGGGGCGCUGUCCGCUGAUUCCAGAGUCUUUCCUGAGAAAGUAAUUCCAGACAUGAAAGAUGUUUCAAUACAGUGACCUCCAGCCAAGCAGACCUGGACCCUAUUAAAACAAUGGCCAAUCGGCUCUGGAGCAUGCGAAGGACAAGGGACACAUUCCCACCAUUUUUCAUGCAUGGGGAACAUUUUCAACAUGAAAUUAACCCAAGAAGGCCUUGAUCUGGAAACGCGUCAGCACUGUGGUUCGGUAAGUGGGAUUUAUUGGGUGAUUGUUGGCAUUGCCCACUCACAUGCAGUCUCUUGGUCUAUCAUGGCCGGGGCAGCCUCGGUGCAUGUGUGUGGGUCCCAGAGGGGAUUCAGAUCCUGCAGCUGUGACCACCGCUCUAUCUGCAGGGGAGCCCACAGUCAGGGCUGCCGCCGACUGAAGAGGGCUCUGGCUAGUUACCCACCUGCCAGUGCCUCAGUUUCUCUUUCUGUAGAGGUGAUAUUCUUUGAUUGUUAUGAAAAACUGAUAUGUAGAGAAGAGUUAACAACAACAACAAAACCCAGGUGGAAACAUAUACAAGUUGUCAGUACUUAUAUCUGGCUAAGAUUGCAGGAUUAUUUUUUAUUCUCGGUUUUCCAAAAUGUUAAUGACUUGGCAAUAUUCAUUUUUUAUGAAAAUAAAAAAAUCUCAGCUUCUAAAUAUAUGCCCUUCCCACAUAAUGAGGUCUACCAAGGCUUUUCUGGGUGUGUGGCCACCUGAGAGUCUGGGGAAUAAGCUCUGAGUGUGGCACGGGGGAGCCACCCGCUCACUGCUGACCACACCUCGGAGAGUCACCUGUCCUCAUGCUUCUGUGAAGCCAGCAUCCGUCUGGCCCCAGCCUUGCUGUAGGUCCCAGGGCAUCAGGGAGCCGCUGACAGUGCCCAGGAGAAAGGUACUAGCAGAAGCAUCUGAUGGCAGCAUAACCAAAUAUUCAGAAUUUCACACAUGGGAGAUUUCUUUUCUGAGAACCUCAAAGUUCAUACAAAAAUUAAUUAAAGCAAGGUCUGUGGAAAUAGCAAUUAUGUCUGUAGUAUGUUUGCUUUGAUGUUACAUAGGUUAAAUGGUAUUAAAAACAGCAAAAUAUAUGGCAUGAAAAUAUAUAGCAAACUCUGAGCUCCUGCAAACACAACCAGAGCCUAUAUUAACAGUGAAAGAGCCCAAUACAAUUGCAGAACAUGACCAUGAAAUAGUACUGGACAACAAACAGUAUUAGGAGAAGUAUAUUAUAGCCAGAAGUGUAGAGGUAAGUGAAGGUCAGAGACAUGAAGUAUGUAAAAAAAAUAAUUUUAGGUUAUGUAGAAAAUGAUCUUAAGUGCCAAUCUUUUUCUUCCCAGAUGUCUUUAAAGACAUCCAUCUUUGAAGCAGCAGCUAGAGUCCAGCUGGGCAGUCCUCAGGACUGGUUAAUUUGUGUACAUGACGGACGGCUUCUUGUGCAGCCCAUACUUUGAGUUGUCCAACGUUGCUGCUGCUUCUCCUUGCUGAUGUCACCUGCUCAAAUCUGUGAAGAUGGUGAAGGCCCUGCAAGAAAGAGGAGGUUCAGGAGGUCACAGUUCAGAGGGGACACAGGCUCCAAUACCAAACCCAGGUUAGGGAUCUUGAAAAGAUGAUUGCAAUUAUAUGGUGAUAUGGUUAGGCUUUGUGUCCCCACCCAAAUCUCACCUUGAAUUAUAAUCUCCAUAAUCCCCACAGGUCAAGGGAGAGACGGGGUGGGGGUGAUUGGAUCAUGGUGGGGGCUUCCCCCAUGCUGUUCUCGUGAUAGUGAGGGAGUUCUCAUGAGAUCUGAGGGUUUUUGUUUUUUCGUUUUGUUUUGUUUUUGAGAUGGAGUCUCACCCUCUCACCCAGGCUGGAGUACAGUGGCACAAUCUUGGCUCACUGCAACCUCCGCCCCCCGGGUUCAAGCAAUUCUCUGCCUCAGCCUCCCAAGUAGCUGGGAUUACAGGCACCUGCCACCAUGCCCAGCUAAUUUUUGUAUUUUUGGUAGAGACGUGGUUUCAUCAUCUUGGCCAGGCUGGUCUUGAACUCAUGACCUCGUGAUCCACCCACCUCAGCUUCCCAAAGUGCUGGGAUUACAGGCGUGAGCCACCGUGCCUGGCAGAUCUGAUGGUUUUAUAAGGGGCUCUUCCCCCUUCGUUCGACACUCUCCUUCCUGCUGCCUUGUGAAGAAGGUGCCUUGCUUCCCCUUCCCCUUCUGCCAUGAUCAUAAGUUUCCUGAGGCCUCCCCAGCCAUGCAGAACGGUGAGGCAAUUAAACCUAUUUCCUUUAUAAAUUAUCCAAGUUUCUGAAUUGGACCCAUUCAUUUAAACUUUUUUGUGCCUCUGGUAUGUACAUAUGUAUAUAUGUAUUCAUUUAUUUAUUUACAACCUGUGUAAUGGGCACAUUGAAGACCUUUGUCCCGACCUCAUCGUGGAGACCUGAAAUGCAAAGAUGGCAUCUCCACUGCCCCCUCCUGUACAGAACACAAACUGCAGGUUUUUGUACCUUAUCAUUGGCUUCAUCACAAGGAGCCGACUUCUCCAAAUCUCCUGAGUGAUGCUUAGGAGAUGUGACAUUCUUAUGAGGUUUUCAUGACACCAAAGAAAACCUCUCCUGGUGAAUUUGGAGGCAUAUUGUCCCAAAUCCGCAGAACCGCAGGCAGUCCAGAGGGACCCUUGGGUAACAGUGCUUGGACAAGGUGACUUCAAUCCCCGUAGAAAUGAUUAUGAAACAUCAAAAUAUAAUUCUUCUUGAGUAGGUUUUGCUUUCUGAAUAUUGCCUCAAUGUCACUUUGAAAUCAAAGGCUUCUACCUGACACCCGUCAAUCAUCUGACACACUUGCGGCUUGUCUGCCAGGGCUUCAGUCCUCUCACCUCCGUUGCUGUUUGUGUCUGGAUGCGGAGCGUCUUCCUCAGUCCUCUCACCUCCGUUGCUGUUUGUGUCUGGAUGCGGAGCGUCUUUCUCCAACAAAGAAUGGAGUUGCUUUCAGAGCAGACUCCGAGGCUCGGGUCCAGCACUGCAUGCUGUCUCGCACCUUUCCUUAAAUGCCGCUCUGGACGGGUGGCAGAGAUUCACCUCCUCUGAUGCAAACCAAACUCUGAAUUUGUUCAGAGACACAAUCAAUUAUGUGCUUUCUGUGGUGGCAGGUGCUAUGGAAAUCAGGCCUAGAAAUGUUUUUUGGGGUGAAGGAGUACCACAAAAAUUUAUAACCAAAUUUGGAACGAAGCCAAGAAGAGAUCAGCGAGUGCACGGAGACAGUUGGUGCGGUUGGCCUGACGAUUCAUGACUGGAUUCACUGGGUGGGAGAAUUUCACAGCUGCGUUACAGGACGCUGGAUUCACUGGGUGGGAGAAUUCCACAGCUGCGUUACAGGAUGCUGGAUUCACUGGGUGGGAGAAUUUCACAGCUGCGUUACAGGACGCUGGAUUCACCGGGUGGGAGAAUUCCACAGCUGCGUUACAGGAUGCUGGAUUCACUGGGUGGGAGAAUUCCACAGCUGCAUUACAGGAUGCUGGAUUCACCGGGUGGGAGAAUUCCACAGCUGCAUUACAGGAUGCUGGAUUCACUGGAUGGGAGAAUUCCACAGCUGCGUUACAGGAUGCUGGAUUCACUGGAUGGGAGAAUUCCACAGCUGCGUUACAGGAUGCUGGAUUCACUGGGUGGGAGAAUUUCACAGCUGCGUUACAGGAUGCUGACCACUCUGUCUGCCCGUCUCUGGCUCCAAACUGCAUCUGGAGGUCAGCAGAAAAGAGGAGAGAGGCCUAUGGUUGUGUUGACCUAUCUGGGGCUUUGGACUUCAGGGACUGAGCAGGGCUGGAAUUAGAACCAAAGUGUGGGCUCUGCCCUGUGCCCUGUGCUUGGCUCAGGUGGGGACAGAGUCAGCUGAUUUCACAUUGAUUUCAGGGCCAUGCUCCUUGAGCAUUGUCUCUGGGGUGGGGUUAGAUGCACACGCAGACAAUCUCCCCUACCUGUCUCUCUCAAAGCACUCCCACCCAAGCCUCCUGCCACAGCGCAGCUCUGCCUGCCCCACACAGGCUUCACCCCUCCCUCGAGGCUCUGCAUGGGUUAGGAUCACAGCCCUCCUGGACACACCAUAGUGCCCGGCACGACACACGCGUCUCCAGUCUGUAUGCCCAACUUCAUCAGCAACUGUUUGGAAGAUGCAGGCAGAGACCUGGAGACUUAGGGAGAGCGUGGGCCCACCUGGGUGCUUUCUUGGGUCACCAGGGGCCUCCGCCUGCAGCCACAUCUCUGGCUCAGAGCAGCAGCCAUGGCCCCUCUCACAGAGUGGCCUGCUCUCCCGUGGCCCAGGUAGUACCCUGCUCUGCCAGGCUGCACACACUGAGCACAAACGAGGAGCCCCUGGCAGCCCCUCAGGUAUGGUUGCUGUCAGCCUCACACAGGAUGGAGAGUGCAGUGUAGGGAGAGGUGGGAGCAGCUGGGCACGACAUCUCAGCUUUCGAGUGGCUGUGGCAGUCCCUGCAAGCGUCCCCUCAAGAUUAGACAAUCACUUGGUAACAAUUCAAGGAGAUGCUUUCUGUUCACUUUACCCUGGCUUGCUGUAUGACCUAUCAAACGAGUUUGGUUCUCUCCAGGUUGCUUUCGUGAGAAACAUCGUGUCCAUGUUCAUAGUAUACACAUUGAUAUGGUUUGGCUGUGUCCGCACUGAAAUCUCACCUUGAGUUGUAGCUCCCAUGAUUCCCACAUGUCGUGGGAGGGAUCCAGCGGGAGGUCACUGAAUCACAGGGUGGAUCUUUCCCAUGCUGUUCUCGUGAUAGUGAAAGUCUCAUGAGAUCUGAUGGUUUUAUAAAGGGCAGUUCCCCUGCACAUGCUCUCUUGCCUGCUGCCAUAUAAGACGUGCCUUUACUCCUCUUUCGCCUUCCACCAUGAUUGUGAGGUGUCCCCAGCCAUGUGGAACUGUGAGUCCAUUAAACCUCUUUCCUUUAUAAAUUACCCAGUCUUGGGUAUGUUUUUAUUAGCAGCAUGAGAACAGACAAAUACACACAUACUGCAAAAAUAAUACCAAAGCAUACAUUGGUAAUCAGCAACAUGUCCCAAAAGUACUUUCAAUAGGCUGUCUUAAAAACAGAAUAAAACACAAAUGCAUGAUUGUUCUUGGUGCUGCAGGAAUCAGUCCUUGUGUGAGCUUUGGCUUGGGUGGCAGGUCACUGGGGAGCCUGCUGCUUUCUGGAAGAUGAUUUUAUGCAACUUUAUCCAAUUUAAGCAAUCAUGAAAACAAUCUACCAGAAUUUCUGCUUUGUAAAGGCACUUGGAUUUACAAAAAAAAAAAAAAAGUUUUUUCAUGAGCCAGUCAGCCACUAGAAAUGUCAGACAACACACUCAUCUGGUGGUUGACAGACAGAAAGACAGGUCCAUGCUUGCCGUGUGGCCUCAGGCCGUUGAAGAUGGGGAGCCGAACCAUCCACCGGGCACCUGCACCUCAGGAGCUCCUUCCUGAUCCGAGGCUGCCUCGGCGCCCACCUGAACACCGGUUCUCCACUUCCUUCCGGUUGUUCAAAGCUACCUCCAUCGUGCACUUAACAACAUUAUUUUAUUGAUUCUAAAGUUAAGUGUACCCCCUAAAAAUUUUCAAAAUACAGAGAAGUACCACAAAUCUCUAGCCCACCUUGUGUGCUGGUCACGCUCUGUUGGGUAUCUUUCCAGUCUCUUCUAUGCACAGCUGUAAAAACGCAACACACACUCUUGGCCUCCACCUCCCAGGUGCCCUCUGCCCUCUGCCUUUCCAGCCCCUCAGUCACUGAAACCCCAGUGACUGUCUCCUUUGGAACCUGGCGGCCUCCUGGCCUCUGUGCCCGCAUGGCCUUUCCUGCGUUUCUGAGUCUUAGCCAGCUGGCUGCUCUCUGCCUUGUGCUCCCUCCGCCACCUGCUUCUCCAGGGGCUGCUCCCACCCCUCCAGGGUCCUUCACUUGUUCCUGCUCUUCUACCGCCCCUGAAGGUUUGGCAUUUCCGGGGUUCCUGCCCUUGACUCUUCCUCGGAGGCUCCUCAGUCUGUGUGUACCCCUGGGCUCUGUGGGGACACCCUGAGGGCUCCAAGUCCAUUUCUCCACAUCUGGUCACCAUCACCACACAGCCCAGAGGCCGGUGCCCCAACCAGGCAAGCACCAAGCCCACCAUGGCUCUCCCUAGGCCCUCCUUGCUGGUGGCUGGUCCCCUAAACUAGCACCCCUGAAGCUGGUGGCAGCAGCUGUAUCGGGGUUUGUUUGCCGGGCAUCUCCUGUGUCUGAAAUGUGGGCAUGCGAUCCUCGCAGCCUCUUUUGCUGAGGGGCGUUGCUCCUCUUAUGGGUCCGUGAGGAUGCAACAGGACCAGGCAGCUCGGGUAGGGGGCGCUCCCUGCAGAGCGAGCCUCCAGCUGCUGCCUUGACAAAGGCAGACCAACACCUUUGUCUCCAUGGGUGCCUGUGGACCCUCCUGUCCUGAGGCAUCCCCACCCCUUGCCUCCCCCUAACACAGAUGUUGAGUCAUAUGCUUAAGGAAAAGACGGAGCCCAAACCCAAACCAGUUCUGCUGAACCCCAGCGUUGCCGGUGGUAAACCUCCCGCCCCGGCUCCCCUUGGGAUAUUCCUGAUAACUUCUUAGUUUGAUCCUGCCUUUGGGAAAUGCUAGGAUAAUCUCCACUUUCGGGGAAUGCCAACCUUUUUCCUUGGAGCGUCUCACCUCCUGCUGUGGGAUGGCUACUCACACCUGUCGGUGUAUUUUGUUGCCAUGAACAUGACAGGUUAAUCUGGGGGUGGAAGCCGAGCUGGUCAAUCGGACUGAUUUUACUUGUUUGAGUGUUUUUAAAUAUGAUGAAGCGAGGUCUGGGUAUUUUAAUUUUGUUUAUUAUUCGGUCUUUUUGGGUUACUUAGUGAGACUACAUAAACUCAUCCAAAAACAGCUAGUGUUGUGCCACAUAAAUGCGCUGGUACUGGAACAGAAUUAGAUCAAUAAGCAGUGAAGACAGGAUGACUGAGAUGAACAGGACGGUGGAAGAAAAAUCAGAACUUGCAGCAAUGGGGAGGUCUGGAGCAGCCCCACAUGGCACUGCUGGGAACACAUGCCUGGACCCGAAGCCACAUACCUGGACCCAAAGCCACACAGGUCAGUGGCCCAUCCUGACGCUAGCCAGGUUUACUAAGCAUCAACACUGCGGAAGACAAUGACUGGUGCUGGCUCAGCAGCUGUGGAAAUGGUGAUGCCCUGGCUCCUACUGUGGGAAUGGUGAAGUGCUGGCUUUAUUGUUGUAGGACUGUUGAAGUGCUGGUCCUGUUGGUGUGGGCCUGUUGAGGGGCUGGCUCCAUUGCUGUGGGACUGUUGAAGUGCUGGUCCCAUUGGUGUGGGAUUUUUGGGGUGCUGGCUCCAUUGCUGUGGGACUGUUGAGGUGCUGGUCCCAUUGCUGUGGGUCUGUUGAAUAUGGGCUUCAUUGCUAUGGUAAUAUUGAUGAAGACAGGAGAUGGGAUUUUGUGGCCCUUUCUGAGUUUCUUUAUCAGAUGCCCGUCCUGCAUAGCAGCUGGUGCUGCAUAUUGCAGUCAGAAUUCAGCCUCAUUCCUCCCACCUCUGUGGAUCCAAAUGGUCUUUUGCUCCCCGACCUUUUGCAAAUCCUUGCUGUUUCCCAAAGGAAGCAAAUCUGUAUUUUUCUGUUUUCAGACAAACUGAUGACCAGUUCAGUCCCCUCAGAAUCUUAGAGUGUCCAGAAAAUAUGUACUUUCCCUUCAGCAGGUGUCUUGAUCUGAAUGCUGUCUACACCUUUAUCUCCCUAGGUGGAAGUUCCUCAGUCUCACCUACACCCCUCAGGGGUGGAGACAUUAUACACUAAAGGGCAAGAUGCAGACAUUGGCUAGAAAGAAACAUUCCUGGCUAGUGAGAAACAAGUUAUGUGUAUAUUUUAAAAUGAACCAAAAAUGUUUCCUUGAACAGCUUCCAAAUUCAUAAAUGCAUAGAAAAACGAGUCUGACUAAGAGCAGCUGGCAUUUUCAGCUGCCCCAGUUUUACCUGUUUCCAGGUAAGCAGGAGACACGUCUGCUGGGGCAGUGAUUUAAGAGAGGCACUCACCUAAAAUAAGCAGCCAAAACCAUCCUGGUUAUUACAAAUGUCACAGAAAAUAAGUGGAAUCCACUUCAUUGGAAUACAUCGACAUGAAACCCGGACUGUUAUUUCUAAGAAAGUAAUUAAUGUUUCACCUCUUACAUGCCAUUAUUAAUGCUAACAACAGUACUUUACGUGUAUAGUAUUUUCCUCUUUCAAGCCGUUUUUAUCAGAGACCACAUAGUCUUGUCUGAUUUGAAAUAUGACAUUAAGGAUGCAUAUUUAAAUCUCCCACUACAAUUGCAGACUUCUUUCUCUUUAAAUUCUACUUUUUUUUUGUUUUCUUUAUUUUGGGACUAUCUUAUUAGGUACAUAUAAGGUUAUGCCUAUUAUAUUUUCUUGAUUAAUUGCUAUCUUCAUCAUUAUAUAUUAUCACUCUUUAUCCUAUGUAGUGCUUUUUGGUUUAAACUAUAUUUUGCUUGGUAUAAAUAUAACUACACUGGUUUUUUUAAAGUAUUUGCUUGAUAAAACUUUGCAAUUUUUUGCUUGUUAUCUUUCUGCAAUUUUAUAUUUUAUACAUAUCUGUUGUAAAGAAGACAUUGCUGAGCCUUCAAGCUGCUGAAUUUGAUCCAUUUACACUUAUUUUGAUUACAGAUAGAUUUGGAAUUUCAAAAAAUGUAUCUUUGUAAGGCACACUUUGUUUUGGGCAGAUUCAUCUGAUUUUAUAAAAUGAGAAAACAAACAGAAAAAAGUUAAAUAAUUUUGUGAAUGCUAUAAAAUAAAACAGUGAAAUUGCUAAUUAUUUUAAGGCCACUGUGCAGAAAACUGCUUAAACAUAUAUGAAAAUAACACAGCUCUUAACAGAUUGCCCUAGUAAUUUCCGCAGAACUUCUGUAAGUAUAUAGAAAUUAAAAAUGGGAUUGGAUUAAUAAUUGUAUAAUAACACUAUCUGGACUUUAACCUUGAUUUUCUUUUUUCUUAUAUGCAAUUAUACUGAAACAUGAAGAUAAAAUAUACUAAUUUUGUUCAGAUUAUCUACCUCAAAUGAAGCAAAUACAGUAUUUUUCAACGUGUAAUUGUCUACUUUUCAAAAUAACUUUUUAUUAAAGAAAGGCUCAUAAUGCUAUGCCUUUAGACAGUACUCCUAAUUAAUGUAAGAUUUCAGCAACACAACAUUACACAGAGAGAUUACACAUGCAAUCAUAAAAAACUACAUAUAAAUAUUUAAAAACAUGACAUUUGUGAAUUAUUUCAACCUUCACAGACUUCUUUAUAAGCAUGUUUCAUGAAAAAUAAGGGGUCCAGAUAUAACUCUAAGUUAAACCGUACUUUAAGUUAAACCUUAAGUCUCCCCAUAAAGGUGUCCUAGAGCAGAUGUCCACCAAUCCAGGCAUUGCAAUGCCUGGGAAUCAAUGGUGUAAUCAGCAAGGUGGAAUUGGAUAUGUGGUGAUAGCUAUCGAUGUUUACGACAGGUGGGUGCACCGUCAAGUUGGAGUCUGAACUUGAUAAAUUGGCGCUCUUGGAAAAGGUGGGUGAGAGUCAUUGUGGAUGUGGAUAGGAGCAGAGCGGUCCUGAGCAGGACGCCAAAACAGAGGAAGCUUCGGAGGACGCUUGUGCCUUCCUGAGAAUGAGGCCACAGAGCACAGCGGGAGCCAGGGGGAGUUUCACAAAGGCUGCUUUUGACUUGGUUUUGCAAUCACCUUUUUACUAGUAGGUUUUAUUUCGUUUGUCUUCUGUUGGGAAUUUAAAUAUUAGGAAAACAAAUUGGGAUUAUCUGUCUAGACUACCCUGUCAGUCCAUCUGAGGCUUGUGUCAUCUUAGAGCUAGCUAUAUAUUAGGUAAGGCUUAACGGCUAGCUGAAGGGUGACGCUUCCUCAGCUAGGAGGAGAUGGUUUUUUACAGCAGUGCUGACUCCACAGGAAGCCACCCAGUGUGCUAGGAACCACACUGGAAACACAAAUCUGGAACAGUGGUUUGUUUUUGUUGUUGGGGGUGUUAACAUUGUUACCUGAAAAUUAAUAAUCUUUUAAAGAUGUGGCAAAGCCUAAUGGCACCCUCCUGGGUAGCAAGUCCAACGUUGUCCAGGCACUCACCAUUUACAGAACGAAUAUUGCAAAACGGUUUUGUGGGCUUGUGUUGUUUCCUUCCCUUCUUUUUUCUUGCUUACUGGCACUAAAAGUCAGCCUUUCAUUGUUGAAACAGUUGACCAUAAUCUUAAUUUACAUUUACUCUAUGUUUCAUCAUAAGCUGUAAUGCCUUUUAGCAUAAAGUGGAUUAAUCAGAAAUCGUAGCCGAAUUGGCAAUUCAAUUGUUAAUAGUACUUUUUCUAACAUUCAAAAACUUUUCCUCUGUUUUGAAUUUAUUCAUUUUAAAUGACUAGAACAAAUUUGAGCAAGUAAAAGCUGGUAAGCUUGAGAUUUUUCUGGUUUAAUUAUUUUUCUGGUUUCACUUUAGCUUUUAAAUCCUUAGACUAUGGUCACAAAUAUAAUCCAGUGCAUAAUUGUCUCCUAAUUUGACUGACGACUUAACUGCUGAGUUGUUUUAUGGCUUUUCACAUGGUUAUACUGAAGGACAGUCUACAUGCACUUGAAAAGAUGAUAUAUUCUGCUGUUGUUGAGAAUGGUCCCUAGAUAUUAGUUGGGUCAAGUUGGUUAAUAGUGUUGUUCAAAUCUUCUGUAUCCUGGCUACUUUUUCAUCUGGUUUUCCAUCAGUUAUUCAGAGUGGGAUAUUAAAGUGCCCAACUAUCAUUGUGCAAUUGUCUAUUUCUUUCUCCAGUUUUAUUAGUUUUGCUUCAUUGUAAAAAUAUUUCAUGUACUUUGACACUCUGUUAUUAGGUGGGUAUAUAUUUACAAUUAUAUUUUGCUGGUAAAUUGACUUUUUUGUAAUUAUAAAAAUCCUUAUUAAGUUUUAGUAAUGUGUUUUGUCUUAAAAUUUACUUUGUCUGAUAUCAGUAUGGCUACUAUAGCCCUUGCACGAUUACUGCUUGCAUGGUAUAUGUUUUUUCAUCAUUUGCUUUUAAACGCUUUUGUGUCUGAAACUAAAGUGUGUUUCUUGCAUACCAUUUGAUUUUUUUCUGGUUGUUUUGUUUUAAAUUCAUUUAAACCAUCUUUAAUUUUGGAUUGGAGUUUUUAAUGCAUUUAUAGGUAAUGGAUUUAUUAGUAUAAGUAAUGGCUGAAUUUAUUUCCACCAUAAGAUGGCUGAAUUUAUUUCUACCAUCUUGAUGCUAGUUUUAUUUUAUGUCUUUUUUGUUUGCCCAUUCUUUCUUUACUACUUUCUUUUAUGUUCAAUAGCAAUUUUCUAAUGUACCAUUUUAUUCCUUUUUAAAUGUUAUUCUCUUGGGAAAUAUUGCUCUAGGGAUUAGAGUAUACACAUUUACUUAUCAUAGUUUAUUUUAUGUUAAUACUAACUUAAUUCUGGCAAAAUAGAAACACUUUGCUCCAAUACAGUUUUAUCCUUUCCCUCCUUUUUGCUGUCAUUGUCAUGAAUGUUACAUGUAUAUAUAAGCAUUUAUAUUGCAUUUUAAAUAAGUUCAAAGAACAAUGCAAAAAUGUUUAUACUGUUUAUGUUUACCUGCAUAAGAACUUUAACAUUGCUCAUUAUUUCUUCAUGGGCAUUUGAGUUGCCAUUUGGUGUCAUUUUUUUUCUAUCUGAAGGAUUUCCUUUAGUAUUUCUUGUAGGAUAGGUAUGCUAUUGAGAGGCUGGGUUUCUGGGUCGGGUAGGGACUUGGAGAACUUUUCUGUCUAGCUAAAGGAUUGUAAACACACCAAUCAGUGCUCUGUGUCUAGCUAAAAGUUUGUAAACGCACCAAUCAGCACUCUGUAAAAACGGACCAAUCAGCACUCUGUAAAAUGGACAUGUCAGCACUCUGUAAAAUGGACCAAUCAGCAGGAUGUUGGCGGGGCCAAAUAAUGGAAUAAAAGCUGGCCACCCCAGCAAGCAGGGGCGACCCGGUCGAGUCCCCUUCUCUGCUAUGGAAGCUUUGUUCUUUGGCUCUUUACAAUAAAUCUUGCUGCUGCUGCUCACUCUUUGGGUCCGCACUAUCUUUAUGAGCUGUAACACUCACUGUGGAGGGCUGCGGCUUCACUUCUGAAGUCAGUGAGACCACGAACCCACCAGAAGGAAGAAACUCCGGACACAUCUGAACAUCUGAAGGAACAAACUCUGGACACACCAUCUUUAAGAACUGUAACACUCACAGCCAGGGUCCACGGCUUCAUUCUUGAAGUCAGCGAGACCAAGAACCCACAGGAAGGAACCAAUUCCAGACACACUGUCAGCAAACUGUCUCAAUAUUUGUUUAUCUGGAAAAGUCUUUUUUAAAAUUUUUGCUUUCACCUUUGAAAUAUAUUUUUGCUGACUAUAGAAUUCUUUACUGAUAGUUUUCUUUCUUUCUUUUGGAACUGUUAAUAUGUCAUCCCAAUACCUUCUUGUAUACAUUCUUUGUUAUGAGAUGUCUGCUAUUAAUUUAUGAUGGUUACCUUAUAUAUGGUCAUAGAGUUUGGAUACCUGUCCCUGCCCAAAUCUCAUGUGAAAUUGUAAUCCCUAAUGUUGGAGGUGGGGCCUGAUGGGAAGUGUCUGGGUCAUGAGGGCGGCUCCCUCAUAGCUUGGUGCUGAAUUUGCAGUAGUGAGUGAGUUCUCGUGAGAUCUGGUCAUUUAAAGGAAUGUAGCACCUCCCGUCCAGUCUCUCACUUGUUCCUGCUUUUGCCGUGUGACGCACCUGCUCCCCUUUUGCCUUCUGCCAUGAUUGCAAGCUUUCUGAGGCCUCCCCAGAAGCUGAGCAGAUGCCAGCACCAUGCGUUCUGUACAGCCUGCAGAACUGUGAGCCAAUUAAACCUCUUCCUUAUAAA